GGAGGUAGUGACAAUAAAUCACAAUGCGGGACUGUUAGUCUUGCAAUUGGAUUGAGAACAACGUACAACUCUUAUCGAUAAGCCAUUGGAGGGCAAGUCUGGUGCCAGCAGCCGCGGUAAUUCCAGCUCCAAUAGCGUAUAUUAACGUUGUUGCAGUUAAAAAGCUUGUAGUUGAAGUGAGGGAGUGUGUAGUAGGACCGACUUGAUCGAAACUGCUGCAACCUCCCCCUUCCAAUCGGUGUAGUGGGGUAUUCACUUAUUUCACUACUCCUUUGGUCGUUUACUGUGAGAAAAUUAGAGUGUUCAAAGCGGGCGUUUGUUUGAAUAGAUUAGCAUGGAAUAAUGAUUGAAGGCUUUCGUGUUCGAUUUGAUUGGUUUGUUCAUGGAAGCAAGGUUAAAAGGAACAGUUGGGGGUAUUCAUAUUCACUAGUUAGAGGUGAAAUUCUCGGAUUUAUGGAAGAUGAACAAGUGCGAAAGCA
rnacentral:rRNA from 1 species